rnacentral:rRNA from 1 species
GAUUCGGUGAGGUGGUGACAAGAAAUACCAAUAUAGGACCCAACGGGUACUAUGUUUGGAAUGAGUACAAUUUAAAAACCUUAACGAGGAACAAUUGGAGGGCAAGUCUGGUGCCAGCAGCCGCGGUAAUUCCAGCUCCAAUAGUGUAUAUUAAAGUUGCUGCGGUUAAAAAGCUCGUAGUUGGAUUUCGGAGUUGUUAUCUGAACCUUCUCGCCCUAAAAAGUGGGGGGGCUAAGGUAGCAGUAGUUUUCAUCAUAGUCCAUCAGGAUACUCUCUUGAUGUGUACUGGGUGUUAACCUCCUUUUUUUCUGGUACUUGCUAUCCAGCAAUGGGUAGUUUUGUCCAGAUAGUUUACUUUGAAAAAAUUAGAGUGUUCAAAGCAGGCAUAAUUGGCAUCAUGAAUACAUUAGCAUGGGAUAAUAGAAUAUGACAUUGGUCUUAUUUUGUUGGUUUCUAAGGCCAAAGUAAUGAUUGAUAGGGAUAGUUGGGGCCGCUCGUAUUGAGUUGUCAGAGGUGAAAUUCUAGGAUUUACUCAAGACGAAC